GAUGAACGCUGGCGGCGCGCCUAACACAUGCAAGUCGAACGAUUAAAGCACCUUUUAGGUGUGUAUAAAGUGGCGAACGGCUGAGUAACACGUGGGCAACCUGCCCUCCUCUUGGGGAUAGCCUCGGGAAACCGAGGAUAAUACCCGAUACUUCACUUGAGCCGCAUGACUCAAGUGAGAAAGCUUUUGCGGAGAAGGAUGGGCCCGCGGCCUGUUAGCUUGUUGGUGGGGUAGAGGCCUACCAAGGCAAUGAUGGGUAGCUGGGUUGAGAGACCGACCAGCCAGAUUGGGACUGAGACACGGCCCAGACUCCUACGGGAGGCAGCAGUGGGGAAUCUUGCACAAUGGGCGAAAGCCUGAUGCAGCGACGCCGCGUGCGGGACGAAGGCCUUCGGGUUGUAAACCGCUUUCAGCAGGGACGAGGCGUAAGUGACGGUACCUGCAGAAGAAGCCCCGGCCAACUACGUGCCAGCAGCCGCGGUAAUACGUAGGGGGCAAGCGUUAUCCGGAUUCAUUGGGCGUAAAGCGCUCGUAGGCGGUCUGUUAGGUCGGGAGUUAAAUCCGGAGGCUCAACCUCCGUCCGCUCCCGAUACCGGCAGACUUGAGUUUGGUAGGGGAAGGUGGAAUUCCUAGUGUAGCGGUGGAAUGCGCAGAUAUUAGGAAGAACACCAGUGGCGAAGGCGGCCUUCUGGGCCAUAACUGACGCUGAGGAGCGAAAGCUAGGGGAGCAAACAGG
rnacentral:rRNA from 1 species